rnacentral:rRNA from 1 species
UACAGAGGGGGCAAGCGUUGUUCGGAAUUACUGGGCGUAAAGGGCGCGUAGGCGGCCUGCUAAGUCGAACGUGAAAUCCCCGAGCUCAACUCGGGAACUGCGUCCGAUACUGGCAGGCUUGAAUCCGGGAGAGGGAUGCGGAAUUCCAGGUGUAGCGGUGAAAUGCGUAGAUAUCCGGAGGAACACCGGUGGCGAAGGCGGCUUCCUGGACCGACACUGACGCUGAGGCGCGAAAGCUAGGGGAGCAAACGGG